ACCUCCCGUACUUAUCCCACCUCCCCUACUUAGCACUAACUUCCUCUCCCUGGAAAAAAAAUCCAACCUCCCCGUAGGCGCACCUCCACCCAGUUUCUCCUAUGCGCAAUCUCUGUCGUCCCCUCCCCUGAUUCCCCUCUCACCCGAGCUCCAUGACCAUGACGCCGCGUGGCACCACCGAUUUGGGCAUGCUCUGGCGCUCUCCCGCGAUUAUUCUCACCAUCCCGGCUGCCCCUCAGUCCUCUCCUACGAUCCUCCGCCACUGCGACGACCUCCGUGGUCCUGCACAUGCCGCUGCAGGAACCCUAGCCGCCAUGGGUCGCUGGUGCGACUCCUGCGUUGGCCCUCUACCCUGCAUCUCCGUAUCCGUCGCUGCCGGCCCAGGCUCGAUAGUGCUGCUCCGCCUCGGCUACCUUCCCUUCGACAUCGACGUUUUAGUAAGGCACUUCGCUCCUCUACUCGUGCCCUCUCUGGUGCUUUGUGGCGACAUGACCUUCGUGCCAUAGUCAAUUCUUUACCAAAGUCAUGAUUGUGAUCUACGCUACCUAGUGUUAGCCGUUGUGGUGGAUAACACCCCACUACGGUCAGUGACCUUGCCUGAGGCUAAACAAAUUCAGUGCACGAUUUUCUAGGUAUUUCAGUUUCGUGCUUGUAUCUCAAUAAUGUGCUAUGCAAUUCUGUACAUGCCAGCCAGUCGUUUCCAGUUGGGAUAAUCUAUUGUGAUGUAUUGUUGAGUGAUUCACCCCUUGUCCAUAUGUGGUAAUUCCGGAAGAAUGCAUGCAUCCUUUUUUUCUCAGUAGUUCUUUCUUGCUGCUAUGUGCGUGGAUGAAUCCUUAACAAUAUCCCUGUCACACAUUGUGUAAUACCUUAGGAAUAAGUCUCUGAUGCCCGUCCUAAUAUCCCUCUUGACUGUAUAUAUAAUCCUUAAUUUCAUUUUCCCUUGCAGGUUCUAAAACAGACUAUUUUCAGCCAACAUGUGUGUGUGUGUGUAGUGGUAGUAGUUCGAUCUAUUGUGUCGAUGAACAUCAAGGCUACACGAUGGUUUGCUUGAAGAAUGGUGUGGAGGCAGGACUGCAAAAUUAACUAGCGACCACAAGUCAUUGCAGCUUUUCUCGUCAUGCCCACAUGUUGUGGAGCUGCCGACCUGCCCAAGCCGCCCUCGAUCAGUGCCAACUCCGCGAGAGAAAACUAUGUAAGAACUUCAGUGCUCGAGUCAGAAGUAAAUUCCCAAUCUACAUUACUACUUAUGCUAUUUUGAUGCAAUGCUAUGCUUGAUAUCUUAUGAAACUCCUUAUAGAUUUUAUGCUGAUAUAAAUAUUGUACUAAACUGAUAUGUGCAAUUUAAUACGGAGUGCUAAGGGUCCUGUAGGUUGGAGAGACUAGUAUCCUAUUUUUUCAAGAUAGUUAGACUUCCUGUUCUAAAGUUUACUCUAUUACUUUUGUUCUAAAAUUUACCUUGUUUUACUAAAUUAUCUUGUUACUAAAUUUUUGCAUUGCUGUACUAAAAUUUGCCUUGCUAUUGUUGUACUAAAAAUGUAACCAUUGAGUAGGAAGGAAGAGAUCAAGGGAGCAAAUAUAAUGAGGAAGGAGCGCUCAGAAGAAGUUAACUCAAAAUCCACUUAAGAUGUGACCUUCACAUAAUUCACAAAUGAUAACCAGUACAUUAUUCAUGAUAGAAUUGCACCAGACACAUGACAUGCAUUUGUAUGACUGUACAUAGUAUAUUGUACUUGAUGCUUAUAUUGUUCCUUUUUAAUUUGAUGCCUAUAUUGUUCCUUUUUAACUUGAUGCUUAUAUUGUUUCUUAGAACAUAAAGUAUUUUUAAAUUGUUGAAACAUUGCAUCUAUUUGUUUAGGAGAACUGCUGAUCUCUGUGUGAAAACGAAGGUUGUGUGGUAUGUCAGCACAUUUUUUUUCAAAGGAAGUACCUCAUAUCUUACAUACUGUAUGUUUGCUUCAAGAUUUACUAGAACUCAAUUGACAUCUAGCAGGUUUCUUCAUAAGAAAACAAGGAUCGGAAGUGUGUGAGAUGUAGAUUGCUUAGAAUGUUACUAAUGUGAUGGCCUUCAACAUUUAUUGCCGAGAUAAAUGGUUGAUGCAUGGCUCAGAUGUUGAUUGCAAGGCAGAUAAUGGGGAUAAUUAGAGUGUCAUUUUCAGUACGAUGUUUCAAACAUUAUAGUUGAUUCGAAGGUCGAGAAGUUUGCUACUAGUAGAUAGCUUCACAUCUUGUAAUGUUUGGAUCGUGUUCAGUGUAAUGCAACAUAGUUGAUUUAAUAUAUGAGAUCUUUCCGCUUA